rnacentral:rRNA from 1 species
UGGGGAAUAUUGCACAAUGGGCGCAAGCCUGAUGCAGCCAUGCCGCGUGUAUGAAGAAGGCCUUCGGGUUGUAAAGUACUUUCAGUCGGGAGGAAGGUGGUAAGGUUAAUAACCUUAUCAAUUGACGUUACCGACAGAAGAAGCACCGGCUAACUCCGUGCCAGCAGCCGCGGUAAUACGGAGGGUGCAAGCGUUAAUCGGAAUUACUGGGCGUAAAGCGCACGCAGGCGGUUGAUUGAGUCAGAUGUGAAAUCCCCGGGCUUAACCCGGGAAUUGCAUCUGAUACUGGUCAGCUAGAGUCUUGUAGAGGGGGGUAGAAUUCCAUGUGUAGCGGUGAAAUGCGUAGAGAUGUGGAGGAAUACCGGUGGCGAAGGCGGCCCCCUGGACGAAGACUGACGCUGAGGCUCGAAAGCGUGGGGAGCAAACAGG